UUGAGCCCUGUUACUCAUUA
rnacentral:piRNA from 1 species